rnacentral:rRNA from 1 species
UGGGGAAUAUUGGGCAAUGGAGGCAACUCUGACCCAGCAACGCCGCGUGAAUGAUGAAGGUCUUCGGAUUGUAAAGUUCUGUGACGGGGGACGAACACAAUGGCGGUACCCCGGAAGCAAGCCACGGCUAACUACGUGCCAGCAGCCGCGGUAAUACGUAGGUGGCAAGCGUUAUCCGGAAUGACUGGGCGUAAAGGGUGCGUAGGUGGCUUAGCAAGUUGGCAGCGUAAUUCCGGGGCUCAACCCCGGCGCUACUGCCAAAACUGUUGAGCUUGAGUGCAGGAGGGGUAAGUGGAAUUCCUAGUGUAGCGGUGGAAUGCGUAGAUAUUAGGAGGAACAUCGGUGGCGAAGGCGACUUACUGGACUGUAACUGACACUGAGGCACGAAAGCGUGGGGAGC